CAAGAAGUCUCUCCAGCUGCUUAAUGCCCAGUUGUCUGAUGUCAGGAAAGGCGUUUGCCAAAUCAAACAGGUGUUUCCAUCUCCCUCCCACAUAUGAAAAUCACCAACAGCAUGCAUGGACCUGCUAGAAGUGUGGCUACCCAUGGGUAGGUAAGACUCAACAGAAUUUGGAAGAGUAGGUCACCUGGUGAGAGCAAGCAUUUCUUGGCUGGAGGCUCGUGGCUGGAGUUUCAUUACACACAAAGGCCAAUGACCGCGUAGCAUUUUUGGAAAAUAUUGUCGAGGACAAUCCAUCAUGGAACAGACUUUUGGAUUAUUUGUUUUGGUUGUCAUCUUUCUGCUACUACUAUGAACACAAGAAAUACUUAGUCCCAGCUAGAAAUGAAUACAAAUUUUAAAAAUCACUAACUUAUUAUACAACAUGUUACAAAUUACAGUCUGAGACAUAUUCCAUGCCCCAAACUGUUUUUGACAGGGUCAUAGUGGAAAGCACAUUUUAGUCUGGAAACUCAAGUAGAACCUGAAUGGCCUUUUUUUGCUUAAAUCAAUCUCACUUCUGGA